GAUGAACGCUGGCGGCGUGCCUAAUACAUGCAAGUCGAGCGAAUGGAUUAAGAGCUUGCUCUUAUGAAGUUAGCGGCGGACGGGUGAGUAACACGUGGGUAACCUGCCCAUAAGACUGGGAUAACUCCGGGAAACCGGGGCUAAUACCGGAUAACAUUUUGAACCGCAAGGUUCGAAAGUGAAAGGCGGCUUCGGCUGUCACUUAUGGCUGGACCCGCGUCGCAUUAGCUAGUUGGUGAGGUAACGGCUCACCAAGGCAACGAUGCGUAGCCGACCUGAGAGGGUGAUCGGCCACACUGGGACUGAGACACGGCCCAGACUCCUACGGGAGGCAGCAGUAGGGAAUCUUCCGCAAUGGACGAAAGUCUGACGGAGCAACGCCGCGUGAGUGAUGAAGGCUUUCGGGUCGUAAAACUCUGUUGUUAGGGAAGAACAAGUGCUAGUUGAAUAAGCUGACACCUUGACGGUACCUAACCAGAAAGCCACGGCUAACUACGUGCCAGCAGCCGCGGUAA
rnacentral:rRNA from 1 species